rnacentral:rRNA from 1 species
UACGUAGGGUGCUAGCGUUGUUCGGAAUCAUUGGGCGUAAAGCGCGUGUAGGCGGUUAGGUAAGUCUUGUGUGAAAUCCCUGGGCUCAACCGAGGAAGUGCAUGAGAAACUACCUAGCUAGAAGACGGCAGAGGAAGGUGGAAUUCCAAGUGUAGAGGUGAAAUUCGUAGAUAUUUGGAGGAAUACCGGUGGCGAAGGCGGCCUUCUGGACCGUUCUUGACGCUGAGACGCGAAAGCGUGGGGAGCAAACAG